UCUCCAGUGGCGCAGUUGGUUAGCGCAUGGUACUUAUAUAACAGUGACUUAUUCGCUUGGAACUAUAACUGAUGGAAUGCAUAGGAAGUAAUGCCGAGGUCGCGAGUUCGAGCCUCGCCUGGAGAA
rnacentral:tRNA from 1 species